rnacentral:sRNA from 1 species
AAGGGGAGGUUUUAGAUGUUUUUUGGUAGGUCGACAGAAAGGGGCGUUUGAGGUAAGAUGGGAGUAAGAAGAAAAGUUAGAGGUUUUAGUUACUUAUUGUGAAAUGUAAAUUAAAAAGGUUUAUUGUUAUCACCAGCUUUCAUUAAGUUUUAGUUACUUAUUGUGAAAUGUAAAUUUUAUUUCUCCUACGCUUUUCUUAUUUCUGUAAAUAAGUUUUAGUUACUUAUUGUGAAAUGUAAAUUUUUCUACUCCUGCUUCUAAAAUGUCGUUUAUAAGUUUUAGUUACUUAUUGUGAAAUGUAAAUCUAAAACAUCCUUCACUGUAUCAACUCCUUUCUAUAUUUUAGUUACUUAUUGUGA